rnacentral:rRNA from 1 species
UACAGAGGUCUCAAGCGUUUGUUCGGGAUUCAUUGGGCGUAAAGGGUGCGUAGGCGGCGCGGUGAAGUACGGGUGUCGGAAAUUCAUCGGAGCUUAACUCCGAAACUGCAUUCGAUACUGCCGUGCUUGAGGACUGGAGAGGAGACUGGAAUUCACGGUGUAGCAGUGAAAUGCGUAGAUAUCGUGAGGAAGACCAGUGGCGGAAGGCGGGUCUCUGGACAGUUCCUGACACUGAGGCAGCGAAGGCCAGGGGAGCAAAACGGG